rnacentral:rRNA from 1 species
UACGUAGGGUGCAAGCGUUGUCCGGAAUUAUUGGGCGUAAAGAGCUCGUAGGCGGUUUGUCGCGUCUGCUGUGGAAACUCGGGGCUUAACCCCGGGCCUGCAGUGGGUACGGGCAGACUAGAGUGCGGUAGGGGAGACUGGAAUUCCUGGUGUAGCGGUGAAAUGCGCAGAUAUCAGGAGGAACACCAAUUGCGAAGGCAGCACUCUGGGACGUGACUGACGCUGAGACGCGAAAGCGUGGGGAGCAAACAGG